AACGAACGCUGGCGGCAUGCCUAAUACAUGCAAGUCGAACGAGAUCUUCGGAUCUAGUGGCGCACGGGUGCGUAACGCGUGGGAAUCUGCCCUUGGGUUCGGAAUAACUUCUGGAAACGGAAGCUAAUACCGGAUGAUGACGUAAGUCCAAAGAUUUAUCGCCCAAGGAUGAGCCCGCGUAGGAUUAGGUAGUUGGUGAGGUAAAGGCUCACCAAGCCGACGAUCCUUAGCUGGUCUGAGAGGAUGAUCAGCCACACUGGGACUGAGACACGGCCCAGACUCCUACGGGAGGCAGCAGUAGGGAAUAUUGGACAAUGGGCGAAAGCCUGAUCCAGCAAUGCCGCGUGAGUGAUGAAGGCCUUAGGGUUGUAAAGCUCUUUUACCCGGGAUGAUAAUGACAGUACCGGGAGAAUAAGCUCCGGCUAACUCCG
rnacentral:rRNA from 1 species